rnacentral:rRNA from 1 species
AGAUAUUUGCAUAUCUCCCUGCAGUGCUCACCUGGUUUCCCACUGAAGCUAAGCAGGGUUGAGUGUGGCCUGUACCUGGAUGGAAGACCUCGUGGGGGAAACUAAGGUGGCUG